rnacentral:rRNA from 1 species
UAAAGCGUAAAAGAGCGUAGAGUGAAUGCCUUGGCAUUGGGAGCCGACGAAGGACGUGGUUAACUGCGAAAAGCUACGGGGAGUCGUAAGCAGACAUUGAUCCGUAGAUGUCCGAAUGGAGCAAUCCGCAUGGAGUUAGUCUAUGCAUCCAUAAGUGAAUUCAUAGCUUAUGGAGGGGAACCGCCUGAACUGAAACAUCUAAGUAGGGCGAGGAAGAGAAAUCAAACGAGAUUUCGUAAGUAGUGGCGAGCGAACGCGAAAGAGGCUAAACCAAGAGAAGAAAUUCUUUUGGGGUUACGGACUGCGAUAUGUAUCUGAGGACUUAGCAGAAUGGUAUGGGAAAGCCAACCAGAGAAUGUGAUAGUCAUGUAUGCGAAAAGGAAUCAGAGCUAGCAGGAUCCAAAGUACCGCGGGACACGAGGAAUCCCGUGGGAAGUCGGGGGGACCACCCUCCAAGCCUAAAUACUACCCAAUGACCGAUAGCGAAAAGUACUGUGAAGGAACGGUGAAAAGAACCCCGGGAGGGGAGUGAAAAGAACCUGAAACUCUAUGCUUACAAGCACAUAGAGCACGUCAAAGUGUGAUAUGGUACCUUUUGUAGAAUGGUCCGGCGAGUUAUUGUAUGCAGCAAGGUUAAGGUCUUCAGGACUGAAGCCGAAGCGAGAGCGAGUCUGACAAGGGCGAUAAGUUGCAUGCAAUAGACCCGAAACCGGGUGACCUAGCCAUGUUCAGGUUGAAGUGGAGGUAAAGCUCCAUGGAGGACCGAACCGACCUCCGUUGAAAAGGCGGCGGAUGAAAUGUGGCUAGCGGAGAAAUUCCAAUCGAACCCGGAAAUAGCUGGUUCUCCCCGAAAUAGCUUUAGGGCUAGCGUUGUAUUAGAUUUCUGGGGGUAAAGCACUGAAUAGGCUAGGGGCCGAGAGGUUACUGAACCUUAUCAAACUAAGAAUACCAGAAAAUUGAUGUACAGCAGUCAGACUAUGUGAGAUAAGUCUCAUAGUCAAAAGGGAAACAGCCCAGACCCACAGCUAAGGUCCCAAAACAGAUUUAAGUGGAAAAGGAUGUGGGAUUGCCCAGACAACCAGGAUGUUGGCUUAGAAGCAGCCACACAUUAAAAGAGUGCGUAAUAGCUCACUGGUCGAGUGAUCCUGCGCCGAAAAUUCAACGGGGCUAAAAUUUGUACCGAAGCUUGGGCUUGAUACAUUCGUAUCAGGGGUAGGGGAGCGUCAUGUAUGAGGUGAAGUCGUAGCGAAAGCGGCGGUGGAUUGUACAUGAGAGAGAAUGCCGGAAUGAGUAGCGAGAAUUAUGUGAGAAUCAUAAUGGCCGAAAAUCUAAGGUUUCCUGAGGAAGGUUCGUCCGCUCAGGGUAAGCCGGGAGCUAAGGUGAGGCGGAAACGCGUAGCCGAUGCACAUACGGUAGAGAUUCCGUAGCCUCCGAAAAGUAAAGCACAGGGACGCUUCAGAAGUGUUACGCCGGGCGAUGGUUGCCCCGGUUGUAAAGGACACAAUUGAGUGGAAGGUAACAUGGAUGGAGACAAGAAAAGCUGUGUGUAUCUGGAAGGAGCCCGUACCGCAAACCGACACAGGUAGAUAGGAAGAAGAUUCUAAGGCCAGCGGGAGAAGGGUUGUUAAGGAACUCGGCAAGUUGACCCCGUAACUUCGGGAGAAGGGGUGCUUACGAAGGUAAGCCGCAGAGAAUAGGCCCAAGCGACUGUUUAGCAAAAACACAGCUCUAUGCUAAAUCGAAAGAUGACGUAUAUGGGGUGACACCUGCCCGGUGCUGGAAGGUUAAGAGGAGAUGUGAGAGCAUUGAAUUGAAGCCCCAGUAAACGGCGGCCGUAACUAUAACGGUCCUAAGGUAGCGAAAUUCCUUGUCAGGUAAGUUCUGACCC